CGGCGGACGGGUGAGUAACGCGUGAGAAUCUACCCAUGAGUGGGGGACAACCCGGGGAAACUCGGGCUAAUACCGCAUACGCCCUACGGGGUAAAGCAGGGGACCUUCGGGCCUUGCGCUGAUGGAUGAGCUCGCGUCGGAUUAGCUUGUUGGUGAGGUAAAGGCUCACCAAGGCGACGAUCGGUAGCUGGUCUGAGAGGAUGAUC
rnacentral:rRNA from 1 species